ACCCAGCAUACCGGAAAUGGUUCUUGGCGAAGAGGGCGGAGUCCGAGAAAAGAAGGGAAGUAUUGGGAGUUCAGAGACCAGCCAGCCUGGGGGCGUGGCUUCGUAGUGGAGAGGCGGGCUUUUGUGACGCCCUGGCGGGCUGGCUAAGCAGAUUUGAAAGCCAGGAAGAGCCAGUUGCCUGCCUGAGAAACUUCUUCCUUCCUUCACUUUCUGUGGCAUUGCUUUGAUUUGCCCCACCUGAGGAAAAGGUGUCAGUCUGCCCUGUCCGAAUUCAGAAGCAGCUGUUGAAGUGUAACUUGGUGCAAACAUCUAUCAGAUGUCCUCACCCGAAAAAUGGAAUAGUACCCACCUCACAAAAUUGUGUGUAGGGAAUUACAGACCCUCUGAAGAAAGCAGUUCAAAGAGUCAUCUGCUUGUUGGCAUUGGAGGCAACCGGCUGCACAAACUCUGAUAGUCUGGCCAGAGUUUUCCCUGUAAGUUUUCUCACUCUGUGGCUUUGCUAGACCCCAGUUUUAAACGGUGAUUCAGAAAGCCACGACUGUAAUCCAAGCUCUGUCAUUUCCUGGCUGUGUACAUUUAAGCGAGCUACUUCACCAAACAUUCUGCCAGUUUCCCUUUGACAAAACCAACAAAUUUGAUUGAAUGUUAAUUAAAAUUAAAGUUUUUUUUUA